rnacentral:rRNA from 1 species
UGGGGAAUUUUGGACAAUGGGGGAAACCCUGAUCAAGCCAUCCCGCGUGUGCGAUGAAGGCCCUCGGGUUGUAAAGCACUUUUGGCAGGAAAGAAACGUCAUGGGUUAAUACCCCGUGAAACUGACGGUACCUGCAGAAUAAGCACCGGCUAACUACGUGCCAGCAGCCGCGGUAAUACGUAGGGUGCAAGCGUUAAUCGGAAUUACUGGGCGUAAAGCGUGCGCAGGCGGUUCGGAAAGAAAGAUGUGAAAUCCCAGAGCUCAACUUUGGAACUGCAUUUUUAACUACCGGGCUAGAGUGUGUCAGAGGGAGGUUGAAUUCCGCGUGUAGCAGUGAAAUGCGUAGAUAUGCAGAGGAACACCGAUGGCGAAGGCAGCCUCCUGGGAUAACACUGACGCUCAUGCACGAAAGCGUGGGGAGCAAACAGG